rnacentral:rRNA from 1 species
AAUGAUUUGGUCAUCAUUGCGAUGGAGAUACACCUGUUCCCAUGUCGAACACAGAAGUUAAGUCCAUCUACGGCGGAAGUACUUGGGGGUUGCCCCUGGGAGAUAGGCGAGUGGCCAAGU